CCCUCACUCUCGAGGGGUCGGAGUAGUGGCUUCGACUAAGGUUCGAUUCGAGCGAAAGCGAGAAAGCGUUGCCGCAGGCAACGACCCGAAGGGCGAAGCGCGCAGCGCUGAGUCAUCCUUCCCCCACCACCA
rnacentral:sRNA from 1 species